rnacentral:rRNA from 3 species
UGUUUGAUGUUCUAACGUGGACCCGUGAUCCGGGUUGCGGACAGUGUCUGGUGGGUAGUUUGACUGGGGCGGUCUCCUCCUAAAGAGUAACGGAGGAGCACGAAGGUUGGCUAAUCCUGGUCGGACAUCAGGAGGUUAGUGCAAUGGCAUAAGCCAGCUUGACUGCGAGCGUGACGGCGCGAGCAGGUGCGAAAGCAGGUCAUAGUGAUCCGGUGGUUCUGAAUGGAAGGGCCAUCGCUCAACGGAUAAAAGGUACUCCGGGGAUAACAGGCUGAUACCGCCCAAGAGUUCAUAUCGACGGCGGUGUUUGGCACCUCGAUGUCGGCUCAUCACAUCCUGGGGCUGAAGUAGGUCCCAAGGGUAUGGCUGUUCGCCAUUUAAAGUGGUACGCGAGCUGGGUUUAGAACGUCGUGAGACAGUUCGGUCCCUAUCUGCCGUGGGCGCUGGAGAACUGAGGGGGGCUGCUCCUAGUACGAGAGGACCGGAGUGGACGCAUCACUGGUGUUCGGGUUGUCAUGCCAAUGGCACUGCCCGGUAGCUAAAUGCGGAAGAGAUAAGUGCUGAAAGCAUCUAAGCACGAAACUUGCCCCGAGAUGAGUUCUCCCUGAGACUUAG